rnacentral:rRNA from 1 species
AGUGAACGCUGGCGGUAGGCCUAACACAUGCAAGUCGAACGGCAGCACAGUAAGAGCUUGCUCUUACGGGUGGCGAGUGGCGGACGGGUGAGGAAUACAUCGGAAUCUACUUUUUCGUGGGGGAUAACGUAGGGAAACUUACGCUAAUACCGCAUACGACCUACGGGUGAAAGCAGGGGAUCUUCGGACCUUGCGCGAUUGAAUGAGCCGAUGUCGGAUUAGCUAGUUGGCGGGGUAAAGGCCCACCAAGGCGACGAUCCGUAGCUGGUCUGAGAGGAUGAUCAGCCACACUGGAACUGAGACACGGUCCAGACUCCUACGGGAGGCAGCAGUGGGGAAUAUUGGACAAUGGGCGAAAGCCUGAUCCAGCCAUACCGCGUGAGUGAAGAAGGCCUUCGGGUUGUAAAGCCCUGUUGUUGGGAAAGAAAAGCAGCAGGUUAAUACCCCGCUGUUCUGACGGUACCCAAAGAAUAAGCACCGGCUAACUUCGUG